CGGGGGCGGUGGCCGCGCCUCGCUCUGCCCGAGCAACCCCAGCCCCAGAGAGCGGGCGGCGUGGCCGCCGGGGCGCAGGCCUGCUGGGAGUCCCGGAGGCCACUGCGGACCAAAGUUUCCAAAGACGCGCUUCCCGUCGUGUGCUCUGCUAAACGCCCAUCCUUAACCCAUCUUUUGAGUCUUGCGACUCCUUCUGGGCAUUACCUAUGGUGGUUUGCCCUGGGGACCUGCUGAGGUUGGCAAGGUGCCUGCCAAACAUGACGAGACUGGCCACAGGCUCCCUGAGCUGAAAGUAAACCUGUUCACACUGGUAGCACCAUUUGUGUAUAGCGGCUGGAACCUUGGUGCAGUGUUCAAGAAACAUGAUUAACUGCAAGGUUUUGCAACAUCCUAGGAAGUGGCCCAUGGUGGGGAAACAGUUUGGGAAAUGUAGGAAUUCCUGGCCGGAAGAUCAGCUUGGACAAAUGCAUCUGUUGGAACGAUUCACUCACCUGAUCCCUUAGUGUCAAAUCCAAUGUACUUGGAUUUCCAGGAAUACUUUGUAACCAAUUUAAUACUGACAGAGAGAGCCCGUCCCGGCAGAACCUGCAGGACCGACCGACUGCAAGGGGACAGCAAUCCUUGGAAGGCUGCCUGUGAAAUCUACGUAGUUUGCUGUUUUUGUUAAAGACUGGAUUAAAACAAGGAAGGACAGGGAUUUUUCUUAAGGCAAAGAGUAAGAAUAGGUGGAGGUUUUGCCAUGACUCAGCAUGUUUCAAAGACAAGAACAAGUGAAUGGCUGGCCUCCAAUCCCUCCCUCCCAACAGUGGACUGGAAAACCUGAAAAUUGUCAAGUGAGUGUUUUGAGUCUGUGUAUGCUGUUCUGUGCCUCUACAGUGGCCCCUCCCAUCCUCACAACAUAAGAUAUAGGACUCAGCAAGCCACAUUCAGGCUCACUAUAGAUAUUUGUUAAGUGCUACUGAGGAAAAAAAAAAGUAAAAUUUUACUAAGUACUCUAAGUCACCCUCUAUGCAAUGGGGAUGACAACAGCACCCGCCUUAAGAGGCUGUUUGCUUGGGGGUGGGAACCACCCUUACAGGCUGUCACUGUUAAACUGUGGGUCCAUCUCUGUGGGCAACUAUCUCAUUUCUCUGCACCCAUGGCAUUUGGUAUCACAUGGCAUCUAUGCAAAUGUCGAGUGAUGCUUGCAUCUCCCUAGUUCUGAGUAACACAGAGGUGUUGUCCGGCUCAGUCCUGCACUUGCCGAACCCCAAGAACCUGUGGAUCCAAUUGCAGGGGGGAGAACUCUGAGCAGGUGCUGGGACAGCAUCUUGUGCUGUCACAAGUGGUCAGUAUGACAUGGGUUCAGCUGUCUACGUGUUGUUUGUCAGAUGCCCAACCACGUAUUUCUCUGGACCACUGUUCCAAUCCCAGGUAAACUGCAGCUGCUGACAGACUACCUGAAAACCACAGGGGUGUUAACUAGUGAGCACAACGAGUAAAAGCCAGCUCUCACCCACUAGGAGGCCUCCAUUUGACCCUCCAUUGAUAGUCAGCCUCUUGGGAGACGUGUAACCUUCCUUAACCAGAUACUCCGCGGCACACUGGAAGUCAUCGAAGCAGUUCUGUUUGUUGGCCAAGAUACCACCUGCAAUGUGCCCAAGUGAAUGACAGGUUAAACUCAAUUUUUAUGUUAAUUAACUAACAGGAGUUCAAAAUAAUGACAGGGCAUAGUUUCAACUAUUGAUUUGCUUAAAAAUAAUGGGCUAACACUACAUUGAAGCAUGUCUUUAAAUACACAUUUUAUUAUGCACUACAACUGCUAAUCCCUAUCCAGGGCUUUUUUGAAGAAACCCCCUAGAACUUGAAAGGCAUUUGCCCCCAAAGGAACAGCUGAUCUGUGCAGUGAGAGAAGCACAAGAACAGAAGCGUGAAAGCAUAUAAUCAAAAAGUCUAUGUUGGAGAAGCUGAACUUAAAAUAGAAACAAGACCUCCAGUGGUGUCCAGUGCUCCACGUUCAAUGCAGCCAGAGCCGGUGCCGGGGGCUGCACGGGCGGGCCCUCCCCGUCAAGACGCAAGCGCUCUGCGCAGCUGCACUGCUCACCCAAUCCUCUUUGCAGGGGUUGGAAAUGGGUAAGUGAAGAAAAGAAAUAAAUGCUCGAGCUUCGCCCUGGGCUACUGACUUCACUAACGGGAAUAGGGUGGUGAGGUGGUACUGCAGGUCACCGCGGUAGAGAGAGAGCUCAAGCGUCUCCCUGGGGAACCUGGGCUUGCCCCUCGGUAAGUCACUCCAAUGCAUUAAACCAACCAAAGGGGGAAACAGUUACAGGGGCUUGGGAUAGCCAAAGGCAUGUCCUCAAAGGAAUGGAUGUCUGAAAGGACUGCCUCUGAAAUGAACAAAAGCAGACACAGAUCUAUUAGAUAUUUCAGCUUCUGCUGAAAUUCAAUUAAAGAUGAAGCAGUGCUUCAUAGUAAAAUAUUAAUAACAUUUGUUUUAAUAAGAAAUUAUUGGUGAAUUAGAACAGCUAGGAUUACUUAGUUUCCAGGAAUAAUAUCAUUUGGGUCUGUGACUAUAUUUUUAAAAGAGCAUUAAAUUUUAAACUCAAUUAAUAGAGUUUAGAUUCAUCAGUGUUCCAUACAUGAGGCUAUAAUGGGAAAGGUCUAUUUCGGGUCCUUUCCCUGUCUGAUUUUUUUUUUAAUUUGAGAAAGACAAACAGAGCUCCAUCCACUGGUUCACUCCAUAAAUGCCAGCAACAGCUGCACUCGGCUGGGUUGAAGCCAGGAGCCUGGAACACAAUCCCUAUCUCCCACGUGGGAGGCAGGAACCCAACUACUUGAGCCAUCACUGCUGCCUCAACAGGAAGUUGGAACCAGGGGCUGCGCGGGCAGCCUAGCUUAACCACUAGGCCAAAUGUUCACCUCUCCCACCCUGAAGUUUGAGAAAGUCUCUGACUCAAAUGGUCAACCUUUAGACUUCAUCAAGCUCCAUUUUGCUGUUCCAGGCUUUUGUACAGUGAGUUGGUUUUAGAAAAACUGAGCCCAUCCAGGUCAUGGCAUCUUCCCCAGCAGAACACGGCUGGGGGGCACCUGCUGACUACAAAGGUUCUUUCAGGAAGGGGCCUGGGGAUCCACACUCUCAGCUUGAGUGUGCACAGUGCAUACAAUUUAAACAGGAAAUCAGGUGAGUUGAGGGGCCUAGACUUAAGGCAGCUGUUUGGGAUGUAAUUCAAACAUGGGAAAAUGUUAUUAUUUAAUCUCCUUUUAUCAGUCAUCUUUUAGUAUCCCACCUUCACAGUUGGUUUUGGUAUAAUUAAAACUCUCCUAUGAAGUCAAAAUCAUACAAUGAACUGUAUGCAGUUUCAAAUGUGACACUAACUGAUCAAGUCUGGGGACAGCGACCUGGUGAUGGCAGGUCAUCAUGUGUUAAUAUAAGAGCUUCGCUCGGGCUUGAGUAGAUUACUGUCUGAUGUCAGCCCUUGGAGUGCCCACUGGAUGUCCAGGGGUCAGGCCUGGGCCUGUCCUGUACCUUGAGACCUCCCAGUUGUUUAUAAAAAUCCCCGUGUUGUUUUGUAAAAGAACAAGCGGAGGGUGCUCUCUGGGGCUGCCAGAAUGGGCCAACCCCAAGCACUGGUGGCCACCUUCAUCCUGGCAGCCCUGUUACAGGGGAGCGUGGGGGACUGCAAGGGGGGGUGCUUGCCACAUCUUCCUCCUCAGGCACACAGCACCCAGGCAAGGGAAGAAGGUCUUCUUCAAACCACUCGCAAGUCUAUGAGUUCAAUUUCGGUCACACUAAAAGCCUGGGCACCCAGCACGUAAAGAAACAAAGAGGCAGGGCUUUAAAAUCAAGAUGAACAUAAAACACAUAAAAAAGCCAAAAAAAAAAAAAACCAAACAAAAAAAAAACCCACAUGACACUGACCAUCUGGGGUAUGAACCCAUGCUGCCAGAGGCCAGAGGUGGAAAGGCACUAAACUGCCCCCCCCCCCCCAAAGUGAGUGUGCCCUUGUGUCUGAACCUGCACACUAGAGUCACAGCAGCAGGGCUGGGAACAAGACGCCGCCCACACUGGGAGCAGGAGAGCUCAGAGAUGGUUUCCUCUUAAAAGACAAUGACUGCUUCGCAUUCUGUUUCCAGACAGCCUUGUUACAGGUUAGCACCAUGCGGCUACGAGGAGACAGAGUAAGCACUACAAAAUUCUCAACAAUCGCUAUGAAAAACGCACCCCGUGUGUGAAGGGAAGAGUGAGUUGUUUUUAAAGGGGGAGUGGUGCCUGCGCUGUGUCUGCAAAUAUCCUUAUUUGUCUCCUCAGAAUGCUUCUCUGCUCUUCACGCCUUCAGCUCAUUUGAAAAGGAAGGCUUGGCACAACGUCUGGUUUCUGUGAACAUCCUACCUUUAUGCCACGUCUCUCCGUAUUCGCCGCCGCCUCUGAUGUUGGCCACUGCAAGGACGCCACCCAUGUGCCUCACGAAAAUAAGCCUGGACACACUGAGAAACAGUGGACACAGUUACCCUUCUGUCACCCACCUGAUAAGGACCAUGUUGUUUGUCUUUACCGAAAAAAAAAAAAAAAUCCCUGGAAAUUCUCAGUGAGUAAUAGCAUCUAAAGAGGAGCCAAAUAUUACUUGAUUAAUGUCUGACUGCAAAGCUCAUACAUUUUCAUGAGCAUUCAAUAUGUCUCACUUUCCUAUACUGGAAAUAUUUCACUAUGCAAUUCAUAAUGCAAAUAGAGAACAAACCAGAGGCCCUCAUUUCACAGUGAAUCUAU